rnacentral:lncRNA from 1 species
UUUUUCUUUGUUUACUCCUUUAGUCACUUUGUGAGAAAGGGUUUGUAGGAGAUAAUUCUAUGAGACUUUGCAUGUCUAAAAUGUGUUUAGCCUACAUUCAAGCUUAAAUCAUAAAACUAGGUAUAGAAUUCUAGACUAGAACUGUCAGAAUGUUGAAAGCACCGUUACUUCUCUGUCUUCUAGCUUCUAGUAUUACUAGUCCUCUAAUUUUUCUUUUCUAUUUUCUGUUUCUUUCUGCCCUAUGUUACAGGAAAUUGAAUAGAAGGUUCUAACCCUUCAGUUAAACAUUUCAUUUCUAUUAUAUUUUUAUUUUUCCAAGUACUCCUUUUUGUUAAAUAUUCCUUUUAUUUUGGAACAUUAAGUUCUCAUUUCAUGACUGUAGUAACUUCUUGAAUCGCUGAGGAUAGCAGUUAUUUUAAGUUUUUAAGUAGUCUGUUUUAUCCAAGUGUUUUACCCUAUUUAUUUGUAUGGGUCUCUGUUUUUCAUUUCUCAGAUGUCUAGUGUUCCUAGGUAAAUCUAGCUGGAAACUUUGAUGCCACAGGUGAAGCUUGUUGCAAGCUCAGUUUCACUAUAACCUAAUAAGGGUUUCAGGUCCUUUUUCUUGGUUGGUAAGAGUCCGCAAAGACGAAUCUUCUAAUACUCUGCCUGGAGCAUAAAGGCCUGUUUGUCUUCAUUUGAAAACCCAGUAGGGAAAAAGAUCUAGAGGUCUCAUUUUCAGUAUGUACAUGUUCAUUUAAUUCCUCUGUUUUUCAGAAUGGUAUAUCUUCUCUCAAAUUAGGAAAGCAGUGCUACAUAGUCUGGACUAUUUUCUCUUUCCCAUGAGUAAAUUUCUAGUUUUGAAAUGGAUAGAGAAGAGGCAGUUGUCUCGUUGUACGAUAUCACAAAGGGAAUAUAACAGCAUCCUUUUCCUUUUUUCUAGGAGAUUUAAAAUUGAUAUAAUGCUAUUAUUUAAUAAGGUUCCUCUUCAAACUUCACCAGUUACCUCAAUACUUUUCCUUACAGCAAAGUUUUUUCUCCAAUCUAGGAUAACAUGUUACAUUUAGCUGUCAUGUAUCAGUCCUUUUUAAUCAUUCAUGUCACUGACAUGACAAGCCUGGUGUUUUAUGAAAUGAGAGUCUCCCAAUUUAGGAUUUCCAGUUGUUUCUUUCCGGUUUUUUUCCUUCUGGUUAGAUUAAGGUUAUGAAUUAUUAGCAAGAAUACUAUAAGAGGAGAGGGGAGCAAGAGGUCCAAAUAGAAGCCUCCAUUAAUCAUCCUCACUGCAGGAACACCAAAUUGAAAAACUAUUCACACCAAAAAAGCACCUUCAUAAGAAUCAAAAAUCAUCUUAGGCAGCAGUUCAGCCACAGUCAGGUAGAGCAUCAAGCGGUCUCCUGGGGUCCUUGAUUCUAGGCCUUGGCUCUUGGAAAGUAAUGUUGGACCUGCCCUGGGCCAGAAGAAAGCCCACUGCCCUGAAGGGAGAGUCCUAGGCCUGGCAGCAUCCACCACAAACUGAUGGAAGAACCCUCUUGGGCCUUAAAUAAACAUCAGCAGUAGCCUGGCAGUACUCGCCAUGAGCCUGGGGUGGUGGUGGCCAUGGGGAGAACUCCUUAGCUUGUGGAAAGGGGAGAGAAGAGUGGGAAGAACUUCCUCUUCUGGCUCCGGUGCCAGCUCAGCCACAGUAGAAUAGAGCAACAGAUAGAUUCCUAAGGUUCUAGACUCCAGGCCCUGGCUCCUGCUUGGCAUCUCUAGAUCCACCUGGAACCAAGGAACUCACCUCCCUGAAGAAAAGAAUACAAGCCUGCCCGGCUUCAUCACCUGCUCACUGUGGAGCCCUAGGGCCUUGAGUGAACAUCACUGGUGGUAACAUGGAGGGAGAGACUGUUUGAGAGAAAGUAAGGGAAGACAACAAGAGCCUUUGCCUGGUAAUCCAGAGAAUUCUUCCAAAUCUUAUCCAAGACCACCAAGACAAUACUUCUACAAGUCUGCAAGAACCAGAGCAUUACUGGGCUUUGAGUCCCCACUAAUGCAGAUACAGAUGCAGUGACUAAAAACUUAGAUUACAACAUUCAAGUGCUUUCAAAUACUUGGAAAGCCUUCCCAAGAAGGACAGGUGCAAACAAGCCUAGACUGUGAAGAUUACAAUAAAUACCAAAUUCUUCAAUGCCCAGACCCGAUGAAUGUCCACAAGCAUCAAGACCAUCCAGGAAAACAAAACCUCAUCAAAGGAACUAAAUAAAGCACCAGUAAAGAAUCCUAGAGAGACAGAGAUAUGUGACCUUUCAGACAGAGAAUUCAAAAUAGCUAUUUUGAGGAAGCUCAAUGAAAUUCAAGAUAACACAGAGG